AUUGAGUUUCAAUGAAAUAACUGCCUGUAUUUUUAAUGACCUGAGAGUAAUAUAAUUUAACUUACUUUUAAGAUACUUCUUAAUGGAAAUUUUUUUUCUCUUUAGGGGCUCUUUCACCCUGCCCCUCCAAUAAGCUGACUUGGUGAAGUUUUGAUAUAUUUUAUAGUAUAUUUUUACUCUCUAGGUCCUUGAUACAGUUCACAAGCAUAGGAGUGAGCUCUGGGAGGAGGAGGGGUUCCUUGCUGUGUUCCUGAUAUCUUUUCCCAGUAGACUUCCCUGCUCACCACCUCCUGUAUCUGACGUUCAUUUCCACAAGAGCAGAAACACCCUGACUAUUCUAUGCUUUGGGCCUAUUUCCAACUCCUUCUGACUAUAUCCCAGCUUAUAUCCAAUAGAUAAGAGUAUUUUCAUCCUUCAUCCCUUCAGCUUCAACAAAGGUGGUAGAAGAAGUAGGCCAACAUUUUAUUUGUUUAGCAUUAACUCAUCAAACUGAUGUUACUUUUACUUUUAACUUAAAAAAGAAAAAAAGCGACGACUAAUCCAGAGGAUGGAAUGCAGUAGGUCUAGUGGUUCUGCUCCACAAGGUUAUCUAAGGACAAAGGGUAAAAAAAAAAAAAAAAAAUUAUGAUUAUCCUUUUCAGGGUCAGAUUCCAAAAAAAUCAUGGUUUAGAAAAUUGUUACAUUAUUUCUAAGUUACUUUGAAGAAAGUUGUUUUUCCACAUACCUACUUCCAAAACAUCAACAUUAAAAUGUAGAAAGACUAAGACCUAUUCAGUGUUGUAGUUUCCAGAACUGGGAAGAGUAAAGCACACGCUUUAAUUGUAUAAAAGCAUUAGUAGCAAUGUAUUCAGGCAAGUGAGAGAGUUCCAUUAAGAAGGUAAAUGUUUGAGUUGUCGCUUAAAAGAAAAAUGGAAUAUUGUGUCUGUAAUAAAUUUUGUAUAUUCUUUCUCAAAGAACAAAUGUCCUGUUAGUAGACCCUGAGUUCACCCAUGUCUAAAAGUGAUAACUUUUAGUGAUAACUAGAGUAAAGUUGCAGUUUUUACUGUUUUAAGCCUUCCACGCUUCAGAUGAUGACUGGAGAGACAAAUGGAAUUAUCAUUGGCCUUCCUGUGACUACUGAAGAAUCACAUUCUUGAUGCUUUAAUCAGUUCUCAUUCCAUUAAACUGUGUAGCCUCCCUGGGGAUCAUGUUUUUCAUUAUUAUUUAAACUUUCAGGUUCUUUAAUCCUAAAAUCAUAAUUGAUAUAAUCUCAUUAAUUUCUUCAGCAAUUGGUAUUCAUCAGUAGACCACCAGAAUUUAAUAACAACACUGUAAUUUAGGCUAAAUGCAAAUGAAGUGGAAGUCCCCACCAGAAGAAGCUACCCUUAAAAAAAAAAAAAAAGAUUUAUUUUUAUUUAUUUGGGGGGGAGGGACAGAGGGAGAGAAUUUCAAGCAGACUCCCCACUGACCAUGGAGCCUGACACAGGGCCUCAAUCCCCAUGAGAUCAUGACCUGAGCCAAAACCAAGAGUCAGAUGCUCAGCCAACUGAGCCACCCAGGCGCCCCAAGAAGCUACACACUUAAUAAAGGGAAUGGUACACACAAAGAUAAAUGUUAGGGUGACCAGUAAGUGCAAAAAGCAGGCAGAGAAGGGAUAAGUCAUCAUGGUUAAUGUGAUCAGGGAGAAUUUAUAACCUUAGGAAGUUGCUAAUCAAGUUUCUGUUUAUAGCAGAGAUCAUAGAAUAUUUGACUUUACACAUGAACUGUUCAUGUGACUACAUGAUUUUUUUUAGUCUUGUGGUUAUAUGACAAUAGAUUCUGGUCUGGUUGCUGUCAUCAUUAAAUAGUUAUUCUGAAGAUGAUUUAUAUGUAAUUAACCCUUAGGCAUAUACUGCUUGGUCAAUCUCAUAAUAGCACUGGCUUGGGCAUUCUGCUGCUGGCUCUGCUGAGCACUAGUUCUGAGAUUUUAAGCAACGAUAGUUUUCUCAUUUCUUAAAGUGAGGGAGUCCAACUGGACCCCUUGCAUGUCUAAACUUCCAUGACUCUGCUUAUCCAAACAUCUGGAACCUCAGACUCCUCUUUGGUUCUUAAUUCUUCUUUAUUUUAGUCACCUAGUCCUGUUGUUCCUUCCUUCAAAGAAGGAAAUUGUUCUCAAAUCUGCUGUUCCUUAUGCCUGGUCUUCUUGGCUCCAUUCUCACCCAUUCCUCAUUCAUCCAGGUAAAUUUCUAAAUUAAUCUUUGAAAUUCAAAUAUCAAUUUCCUCACCUCACUUUCUCAAAUAAAAACUUUGGAAAUAAAGGCUGUUGAGACUUUAUACAAUAUAAACUUACCAGGGCACCUGGCUGGCUCAGUUGGAAGAGCUUGCAACUCUAGAUCUUGGGAUGUGAGUUCAAGCCCCAUGUUGGGUGUAGAGAUUACUUAAAUUAAUAAAAUUUAAGAAAGUUUCAACUUGCCUGGUCACUCAUUUCCUUAUCAAACUACCACCUUGCCUUAUUCCCUUCUAUGUCUCUGAACCAAGACCAGCUGCACUUGUCUCCUAACAAAUACAUAGUUUACCUUCCUGAUUUAACAGUUUCUAUUUCUCAAGCCUGCGACAUUCUUACUCUUUUCUCCGGGAAUCAAAUCCUUCCCAGUUGCUUGAGAUCUAGAUGAAGCUCUACCUCUUGCCAGAAGCCUUUCUACCUGAUCUGGCUUGCAUUACUUUUCCCCUUCUUUGGGUUCCCUCCUAGCAUUUAUGACCUCUAGAAUACAUUUUGACACAUGAUUUUAUACUGUUACGCAUUGUUACUUGAUAACUUCAUAAAUGGGUGUCUUGACUCCUUAAAAAUAGGACCACUUUUGCAUUUAUUUUCCAUUGUCCACAGAACCUGGUAGACACUGUGCCUAUGGGAGGUAGUUAAUCAGAACUUACGGAACUGAAUUGCCUAUUUUUUUUCCCUAGUGCCUGGCAUAGGAAGGCUGGUCUUGCCUUUUCCUUUCUGUCCAGCAGCCAGUUCUAUCCUCAGGUGUCUGUCCUACCACCACAGCCAUCUCUCCCUAAUAGAGAGCUAAUGUACUGCCUAAUGGAGGUCCCCAUUUGUCCUGUUCACUUUGCAGCACUCAGCUGUGUUUCCACUUCUGCUCUAUUCUGUGUCCUUACGGUGGGCUACUUCUGUAGCCCACAAGCUAUAUAGGCAUGAGCUGCAGAAUAGGAGGCCUGUUGGCAUUGUUAUAACCAGAGUUGUGGUUCAGGGACAGGAGCUCACAGCAAUACAGUGGAGUAGUUUGAUGUUUGAGUGUAGACAGAGGCUCUGGGACAGUUUUUGGAGGUGUGUCCCGAAAUCUGUCAAGUGUGACUAAGAGUUAGGCCAGUGCCAGUUAGAUAAACUGAACUGUAAAGCCAACAAAACCAUAGGUUUGCUUUGGGAGCUAGACUAAUGUUAAUAUCUGGUCUGAUCUCUUUUUCACACAGGAAAUUAAGGCCCAAGGAGGAGGCUGCAAAUAGUAGCUACUCAUUAGUAUUUGCUGAUUGCAAAUAAUUCAGUGCAGGCUAUGUUUGGAUGGAUUAAUUCUUUAUGGUAUUAAAUGUCAAGAAUUGGCCAACUAGUCUUGGUAUUAGUCACUUAUUCAAGAGUAGUAAGAGUUUGUUGGUAUGACUUCCAAACAGAUUACAUCAAGGGAAUGUGGCCCUGCCAGCUCCUGGAUUUUGGCCCAGUGAAACUAAUUUGGGACUUCUGACCUAUAGAACUGUAAGAUAAUUUUUGUUGAUGUAAGCCACUAGAUUUAUUGUAAUUCUUUAUGGCAGUUAUAGGAAACAAAUGCACUAAGAUUAGCUAUUUCCUGAUACUAUUUUUUUUAAUAUUUUUUAUUUAUUUGUCAUAGAGAGAGAGCACAAGCAGAGGGAGCGGCAGGCAGAGGGAGAAGCAGGCUCCCUGCUGAGCAAGGACCCCGAUGCGGGACUCCAUCCCAGGACCCUGGGAUCAUGACCUGAGCCAAAGGCAGACGCUUAAUGACUGAGCCACCCAGGCGCCCCUAAACUCUUACUUAUUUGUUGACAACUAAGUACUAGGCUCUAUUACAGCCAUUGGGGAUAUGGUGAUGAAUGAUAGAUUCUGCCUUCAAGGAGCUUGUAGAUGAUACACAGAUAUACAAGUGUGAUAAUUUUGACUAAUUUUUUUUUUUUUUAAAUGGAAGGAUCUUUGAGAUAGUAAGUGAACGAAAGAAAGUUCCAGCUUGGGCUCCUGGGUGGCUCAAUUGGUUAAGCAACUGCCUUCAGCUCAGGUCAUGAUCCUGGAGUCCCAGGGUCGAGUCCCACAUUGGGCUCCCUGCUCAGCAGGGACUCUGCUUCUCCCUCUGACCCUCCCCUCUCUCAUGCUCUCUCUCUCUCAUAUAAAUAAAAUCUUUAAAACAACAAAAAAAGAAAGUUCCAACACCAUACAUGUAGUGUGAUACUUUUUAUAUGAAAUUAACUGCAUAUAUAUGAAUUACUAGUGAAAUGAAUUUUUAAGUGUUGAAAAUGCAUAUCUGAAUUGUUUAUUAGAUUCAACAGAUGUAAAAUUACUUUGUCAAAUUGCCAUAACAAUUUCUAGACACUCUCAGUUUCUGUACUUAUUAACUACUGAUAACAAACAGUUCAGAGUUUGGUCCCAGCCCAUGGGCCAUUCUUUGGUAUUAUUCUUUGAAUUUUUUAAAAUAGCGAACAUUUAUUUUUUGUAUAAUUGCAAUUGUUUUGAAAAAAAUUCCAAUUCAGUCUGAUAAUUGACAUAUAGGUACAAGGUAGAGAAGUGGUUCCGAGGAUGGGGUAGUUUUAUGGACAAGCAACAAAGAAGGUGGCAAAAAGGAGAUGGAUUUUAAAGGCUACAUGGGCAUUUGUCAGAAAGGUAAGUGUGGAAGAGUGUUUUAAACAGGGAAAACAGGAGCCAUGGUAGAGAGGUAUGAAAUUGCUAGGUGUGUUGAGAAAGGUAGUGGACAUCUUUCCCUUAGGGACCCACAACUUCUCCAUUCUCAGUGUAGGUGGUUUGGGUAGGGCUGACCUCCUCCCUAGCUCACAAACUAAUCAGCAUUUCUCACCCCUCUUCACUUCCUCCCAGUGAUUGGUUCAGCACGUCAGUUAAGUCCAGGACUUUUACUGUAACCCUGGCUAGGGAAAGAGAAGGAAGUAUUUGUUUCUUCUGGGAUUGUCAAGAGGGGAGAUGUAAGCCCAGACCUACAGAGUGCCAUCUUACUACUGGAUAGGGGAACCAGUUUGAGAAUGGAGUCAGCAGAGAAAAAGAACAGAGGCCAGAGACAGAAACCCAAUCCAAAGACUUCAUUUAAGGCUCGCAUGUAGCCAUACCCUAUCUUCUACCCCUGGGAUUUUCAGUUACAUGAACAAAUAACUCCUUUUUAUUCAUUUAAUCUUAAAUCCUCUUAACUGAAAAGACCUACAUAAAGAAUAUUAUGGUGUGCUAGAAUAUUGUGUGUGUGUUUGUGUGUGUGUGUAUGUGUACACUAGGGACUAAAAUGCUACAGGGGUGGGCAAGGUCUAGAAGGGCUGAGGAACAGGUCUUCACUUUUGGAGGCUCCCAGAAGCUCUGGAGGAUCUAAAGCAAUGGUAAAAGGGAGUCACUAGUGCUAAGCCCACAUCACCAAAUCAAAACUAACAUCUAACUUAAUUGCAUUUUUAGCCUCCUCCAGGAAUGUAAUCUUAACCCUUCAGUCUAGAAUUUCUUGGUUGGCAGUAGGGAGGUAAUUCAUCUACUAGGUCCAUUUUGUCCCCCAGAGGAAGGUGACCUUGCCUGAAAUAAUCCUUCCUCCCCACCCCACCCCCACUUAUGACUUCCUUGUCCCAUUCCUUCUCUGGCUUUAAAGUCUUUACUUUUCUGUAGCUCUUUGGAGCUCUUUUCUGUUUGCUAGAUGGAGAACUGCCCAAUUCAUAAAUCGCUCAAUAAAGCCAAUUAGAUCUUUAAAAUUUACUCAGUUGAAUUUGUUUUUUUUAUUUAACAGCAGUGAUUACCUCAAGAAAAUGAAGAGCUAUAAAUCAGAAAGUAAUAUUAAGAACAGUUACUUCCUCAAGUUUUUCUAGUAGUUUCAUUUUUCUUCUGUUUCUUUACUUCUGGUUGGGGCUAGGCAAUUAAAAAUGGAAAGCACCUAGCAAGUCCUUGAAAAUUACAUAUUAAAAAAUACUGUUUUCCUUUUAAGGAUUGAGAGUUAUACUAUAAUUUACAAAAUUAUAAUUUUGAGCAAUGAAGUAGGUGACUCCAUUUACUAGUGUUUUCUGUUUCCAAUAAGCAUUCAGCAUAAGCAGACUUUCACUGAAGAAACUUUUAGGAAUAUUAAGAAUCAGCUUUUCUGAAGCACCCUACUCAGUUUUCUUAGCAGGAACAAGAAGUAACUGGGAAUCUCAGGAAUGCUUUGGCCGUUUUGGACAUUAUAACAAAAAUAAAUGAGCUUCACAUUAAGUUCCCUACAUAUAAUUAUCAUGUCUCUUUAACCUAGAAUAAUUACCUAGGGUUUUUUGUCUUUUAUAGUAUUUUUCAUGAUUCCAGGCCAAUGGUUUUGCAGCAUGUUCCUCAACUUGGAUUUGUCUGAUUGUGAUUAGAUUCAGGUUGAACAUUUUCCCACGAAUGCUCCGUAGAUGAUGUAUCCUCCAAGUUUCACAAGAAGGGGCGUAUGAUGUUAAAUUAUUGUCCAGUUUCUGGUUAAUUUCAAUGAUUUGGUUAAAGGUGGUAUCCACCAGAUUUAUCCAUUGUCAACAUACCUUUACAUUUUUGUAAUAAGUAACCUGUGGGAUAAUUCUUUGGCAAUAAAUAACAUAUCUUACGUACAUUGUUUCAAAGAAGAAAAAUGGCCCAGUUGAAACCUUAUAGAGUUGGAAAGGAUUAUUUCAACAAAUUUCUAGUGAGUACCCACUAAUUAUGUUAUGCUAGGUGCUAAGACCACAAAGUAGUGAGACUGACCAGAGUAAAACAAAGAGCAAAAUACCACAGGAGAAUUUGGGAGAAGGACAAAGACCACAUUAAAAGUGAGGAAAGGAAAGUUCAGAGGAGAUAUAAAAUGACCAAGAUCGAAUGUCAGAAGUGAGAUUAGAACUCUGGUUUUUCUAAUGCCCAGUACAGUGUUCUCUCCAUGACAGCAUCUGAAGAUUGUAUUGUAAAGCUGGUUCUCUGGGACAGAUUUGUUCAGAACAUUUGUUCAGAACAGAACAACAUUUGUUCUUACAGUGAAAAAAGUUCAUGACACCUUAUUGUGUAACUAAAAGAACAAGCUUUCUCCGGGCCCACCAUAGGGUGCUUUAGAAGAAAUGUUUUUUAGAUUGAUUUAAAUUACGUACCUCGUGACAUUAAACUCCUCCUUGGAGACCUAGUCGAGUUUUAUAUCAGGGAAAGUUUUUCUCAUAGUGACAGGGACAGACACACGGGUGCCACACCGUAAAGAGACACACACACACUGCUGUCGGGAAACUAAUUCAGAGGUAUUUACAUCCUACAUCCUGGGACUACUGAACAGCCGACACGUAAUUCCCGUAAUUGCUUUAUGAAAUACGGAAUGUUUGCAUAUAUAUCACUGGAAUCUCAAAAAUAACCCAGUUACUCCUUAAGGUGGGAAGCACGGAUCAGUAGAUAUAGGCUGGAUUGCUAAUUAUUUUGCCUUUACAUUUAAGAAUCUCUCGUGUAUAAUUAAUUUUCAGAACAGAAACAUAAGGGGGAAUAGUCUCAUACAUUCAUUUAUUCAUGUAUGUAUGUCAUAUAUUCAUUCAUUCAGGACUACCUCGGCUUCAAACUUAAAAGCUGGUUCUGGAGAUGUGCUGUUUUAGGCAUGCGAUUUCUUUUGAGCUCAGUUUUGAAUCUAUAGACACUGCAGUCCCAACGUGGUCUUUUCCCUGAUGGGGAAGUUCAGGGAGAAAGAGGUGGCUUCAGGCUACAAACUGGAAAAGCUCAAUUCUACCCCCUCAGUAGUUUCAGGAAUUGUUUUUAAACGUGAAGGCCAGGAUAUCAGUUGCCCUUUGCUCGCUCUUCUCAAUACGGAACCUCGUAACGUCCUGCGUACUUGGGAUAAAUGAAUUUAUUUGAACAGGUAAGUAUUUACAAUUUUUUACAUUAGGCCUGUAGUGAGAACUCCCUCCGCCAGCGGCUGAAGGGCCCUCCCUAAUCUAGAGGAGGCUGGGAUCCCCAAGAGCUCUACCGUGGGGGAGGUGACUGAAGUGGGCUGGUCAAUUGGAAAGUCCUUUUCCCCUUGCUACGAACUCGGCGAAAACUGUCCACACCCCGUGAGACAACUGACCUGAGUGUAUCCCCACUACCCCAGGCCUCCAGGCCCUGCGAAGCCUCACGGUCCGCUCAGGGACAAUCUGCGCUCAGCUCCGUCCCUGAACUCUUGCAAGGCCGCACUGGGCUAUCGUAGGCGUCAGGGGAGAAAGAUUUCUCAACUGUCAAGAGGGAAGAGCACGCCCGAGUACUCCGUCAUUUCUAGGAAGCCCGGAGCCCGCCAGGGGGCGGGGGCGGACAGGCAGGACAGCGCACAAGCCAGAUCUGCCAGCCUAGAGCCAAUCCGCGCAAGCGCAGCGCCCUUUCCCUUUGCGUGGCUGCGGUUGACCGACUCCCUCCGCCAAUUGCCGGAUCUAACUUGGUGGCCCUCUCCGCGCGCCUGACUUCCGUCCCUGAGCGGCCGUGACGUAGCGGGUCUCCUCCCCUCGCGCUCCGCGGCGCCGGUCUCUUGUGACUGAUCUAGAACCAAACCCACAAUAUCUCUGAGGUACAGCUGGAGGAGUCCGGGACUGCCUUGCCAACAUGACGCCUGGGGUGCUGCCGUGGUAUCCUCCAGUAAGAGACGCCUGUAAGCCUUGAUUACUGAUUAUUUGACAGAGUACAAGCAGGGGGAGCAGCAUACGGAGAGGGAGAAGCAGACUCUCUACUGAGCAGGGAGCCUGAUGCGGGGCUCGAUCCCAGGACCCCAGGAUCAUGACCUGAGCCAAAGCUGUUGAGAGUCGGCAGGAUAAACGCUAACUGGCCGGACUGCUGCAGCUGAGAGAUGGUGGGACAUCCGACGAAAGCUGACAGAAGGGAAGAAGCCUCACCACCACAUCACCUACUGGAUCUCUCCCUGCAUGGGCUCAAUUUAGAUACAGAAAUUGCUUCCAUAUCUUGGAUAUUACAAAAGAAAAUGAAGUGAUAAACUUAAGAGUGCGUAUAUCUUCUUGAAGUAGUGGUUUUCCAUUCCUCUGACUAAAUACCCAGGAGUGGAAUCACUGGAUCCUGGGAGAGAGAGAGAGAGAGCACACCAGAAGGCAGAGGGAGAGGGAGAAGCAGGCUCCCCACUGAGCAGAGAGCCCAACACGGGGCUCAAUCCCAGGACCCCAGGCUCAUGACCUGAGCCGAAGGCAGAUGCUUAACGGACUCAGGUGCCCAGCAUUGAAGAAUGACUGCACGGGACCAGAGAAAUCACAACAGUUUAUGUAUGGAUAAUCUUUGACUACAGAGCAAUCAGUACAGAGAUCACCAGAGACAUUUAAACUGCAAACCAGAAAAAUCUGAUUGUGACUCCCUGCCCUCACUCUAUCUAAAGAUGCUCUGAAAUGGACAUCUAGAAAUCUUCUCAAGUGGCUACCCUCAGAAUGGAGAAACUGAUUUAUAAUUUGCUCCAAUUAUUAACCAUUAUUUUAUUCUCUCUAUAGAAAUGACUUAUUGAGGGACGCCUGGGUGGCUCAGUUGGUUAAGCAGCUGCCUUUGGCUCAUGAUCCCAGCGUCCUGGAAUCGGGUCCCACACUGGGCUUCCUGCUCAGCAGGGACCUUGCUUCUCCCUCUGCCUGCCGCUCCUCCUGCUUGUGUUCUCUCUGACAAAUAAGUCUUUUUUUUUUUUUUUUAAAGAUUUUACUUAAUACUUGAUUACUUGAACCACAGGCCUAACUUAGGAAAACAUACCUGUGAGACCAUCUCCAGAAGUGAGUUUAACUGAACUGAUUCCUUGUCAGGACUGAGACUGGCUUGACAAGAUGGAACAAUCUCCAGACUCCAUUCCCUCUUCUGAAACUUUCCUGGAAGGUUCACAUAUUAUCAGGACCCAGGCCUGGCCACCCAAAAUGUGCCACGAUGGCAUAUUAAUUAUUUUGAAUAUAGCCAGUGUAGGAAGAACUGUCUGACCUUCCUUUGUCUCCAGAAAGCAUGAAAUAAAUCUCUCAUGUGAAAGUGGCCAAGGCUCCUAGGCCUAUCCUAGCGGCCCCACCCUGACAAGACCGUCCAGAUUCCUGCGGGCAGAGGCCGUGAAUCCACUCUAAACAGCUGGGCAUUCCGGACACCCUGUUCCAGAUCUCUGGCUUCCCUGAUCUCCAUGGCCCAUGGCUGUACAGUAUGCACCCUGGCAGUUGGCUUUGGGCAGCCAAGGGCCCUCUAGGCCGGUGAAGCUCCGGCUGGCCCCCAGCCACCUGCAUCACCGCCUGCAGAAGUGGGAGUCUACCCUGAAGAGAUUCCUGAAGUGUCAGCUUUAAACUAGUGCUAUUCGGCCCACGUUUGGACUGGCUGCCUGAUGAGGUCCCUGGUGUCAUCAGUAGUCCAGGACCCCAGCUGUAUCUCAUCGGAGGAUACCUCUGCCAGUCAGAUUGGCUCAACCCUAGCAACGUGACCCAGGUUCCUCCAAUUCUGCCUUGGCAGGGAGUAUGGGCCUCGGUGUAGGUUAGGGCUUGGAACUGGGCAAAUGCCAGGUACCACCAACAGCCUGCUCCUGUGACCUGGGCUGGCCUGACAUUGCCGAGUUCUGGAUUCCUGGCUAUCCUGACCUUGCUCCCCUGCACGAGGUGUCUAUUUGGGUUUCUGUCUUUAUAAUUUUGUGAAAGUGGGGAGGUCUAGGUGGUUUAUGUGGCCAAAAGGGCCUUGGAGAUUUAGGUCUAUAUGGUCUAUUUUGAUGAGGUCUAUUUAUAUUAGGUGUAGGCCUGUUUUGUCUCUAUACAUGCAUGUUAAAGAAAAAGCUUUUAUCUUGACUUAGUUCCUCAGCUGUUCUUAUCAAGUCAAUCAGUUCUCCACACUUGGCAGCUACAGCCUCUCCCCAACCACCUACAUUUCUUUGGGUAAAGGGAGCCCACUGCCUCCAAAUCACUGAGGUAGCCACUGAAACGUACACCCCAUUGUACUUACCGGGGUAGGCUUCCUCGGUUUCUGUACCCGUCAGGCUCCCAUGUGUCUCUUAACUGAAAGGUACCUCAGCCAUUUCAUUCAAUUUAGCUCUGGUAAGGCAGGCCGGAUCCCUCCUGCCCCGCCUUUAGAGGGAAUAUGAUCAUUGGAAUAGGUUAAAGCUGGGAAUUAGGCAGAUGCCUUGUACCCACAAGACCCAUUCCUGCGACCAGGUUUCUCUUGACACUUGCCCUGUAACAGGUCCACGGCGACUCUGACCACUGUGGCUGGCAUAUGCACUAUAUGCAUCUCAUCAUCAGGCCUCCAUAAGAAAUAUUUGGAAAAAUACUUCGAAAGGCAGGAGGUCAAUUGCAAACGUUCCUCACUAACUCUACCAAAAUUGCCCAAGAGGUGGCUUAGGGGUACAAUGGAUUAUAAAUUUCCUGAGGAUCCUUGGAGACCUAUGGAAGACUUAGUCCAGACAAAACUUAUAAUUAAGGAAACUCCAGAUGUUGGCCUGAUCACCCAAUGCAGUGAGUUAUAGCCUGUAUUUGAAAAAAGCAAUAAAAAUUUUUUUUCAGUGCACUUCUUAGAAGCACGAAGUAACAUGCCAAUAGACAGAAAAGUACUAGCACCAAAAGUAAUCUCCAGAGAAGGAAGAAUCCCAGGUCCUUUGUUCCUAAAAGCACCAAUCCACACCUUAAGGACAAUGAAUACUUGGACCCUUUCACCCUGGUAACUAACUUACUAGAGGCUAGGCCCAGGAAAAUAGGCAAAACGACAACAAAUGAUACUAUGGAACCAUUCAGAGUGACUGAGGGGAGAGAUUGUAACAAGUAAGAAAUGACAAAAACUAAAAUGGAACUCCAACAAACGGAUCUGGACCCAGAAAUCCAGUGGCUAUGAAAGAGGGUCCAAAGGAAGACAAAACCUGAUCCUUACAGGAGCAGAGAUUGUGCAACUUGCGCCAGUUACUACUGAUGGUAAAUUUAAUCAAAACCUUCAAGCAUUUGGAGAAAAUACUAUGAAUUUAUAAGGAAUUUGGUUUGGCUGGGUAGCAGCCACCUAAAGAUUAAGAUGGCCUGGGGGCGCCUGGGUGGCUCAGUUAAGUGUCUGCCUUCGGCUUGGGUGAUGAUCUCAGGGUCCUGGGAUCGAGCCCCGCAUCGGGCUCCCUGCUCAACAGGGAGCCUGCUUCUCCCUCUCCCUCUGCCAAUCCCACUGCUUGUGCCCUCCUACUCUCUCUGCCAAAUAAAUAAAUCUAAAAAAAAAAAGAUUAAGAUGGCCUAUAUGUAAGAUAUUAUUCCUUCAAACAUCUCUUUGGAAAACAGCAUGGGAAGCUAAGACAAUAAUGAAAUAGGCCUUUGACUAUGAUUUAUAAUAGAGGACAGACACCCUCAUUGCUCCAGAACAAAUUUAAAAGUCAUCCUAAAAGCUGAACCCCCACAGACAAGAAAGCAUUAUUUAUAGUAUUUGCAGGGACCAGAAACACUGGAGAAUUGAUUGACUUGAUAAGAACAGCUGAGGAACUAAGUCAAGAUAAAAGCUUUUUCUUUAACACGCAUGUAUAGAGACAAAACAGGCCUACACCUAAUAUAAAUAGACCUCAUCAAAAUAGACCAUAUAGACCUAAAUCUCCAAGGCCCUUUUGGCCACAUAAACCACCUAGACCUCCCCACUUUCACAAAAUUAUAAAGACAGAAACCCAAAUAGACACCCCAAAAACCCUAACAGUGGCAGAGAAAUGGAAACCACCAAUGUUUUAGAGUAAAUAGACCUACCGAAAAUAAACGCAUAGACCCAUUAACCCAUUUACUGUCCAUUCCAACCCCUUUAUAAAACCUAAUCCAUUACUAGACAAGUCCCUGAUAGCUGAAGUAGAGCACACCGCUGAGCCCUCCUGGCCCAUACUGGAGACAGUGCUGCAUAGUUUGUGCCGGCCAUGUCAGUAGACACACCUUGGUAAAUAAGAAUAUUACAUACACUACCAUGUUGCUAGAUACAGGGUUCAUAACAUGAUACAAGCCUAGCCCACUAAUCUACAAAAAACUGAACAACAACAAAGCACUCAGGGAAGGGUUAGGAGGAAAAUUAACCCCAGGGACAUGGAUAUGGAGAUUCCUAACAAGAGAUGAUAGACCACCCACUGAGGUUAAGUGCCUUAUAGUUUCCCAGUACAGAAGACAUUCCUGGCGUGGAUGUAAUAGAACAUACUCAAAAUCAGGAAAACCUUGAGGAACUCCUAGAGGAACAAAUUAAUGUGCCUACUAUUUCAUUACAUAAUAGCCCAAGCUGGACUGUUAAAAAGCCAGACAGGCCAUAUCAUUUUACAGUAGAUUAGAGGAAUUGAAACACUCUCCCCAAAAUGAGGGAGCACUCUGGGAUAUAGGCACUAUCAUAACCAAUAUCACCACUGGAUCCAGACUUUAUAACACAGUGAGAGACUUAGGUGACAUGUUCUUUGCUAUUCCAAUUGAUGAGGAGAGCCAACCCAUGAUUUCAUUUCCAUGGGAAGGCAGAGGAGAUCAGUUUGCUGGGCUACCACAAGGUUACCUUAGCAGCCCAGUAGUGGCCCACAACCUUCCAACACAAGACAUCCAGGCCUUUGAUGAAAACACACACAAAACCCAGUAUCUCCUAUAUAUUGAGGACAUCCUUAUUUAUGGUGAUAACUGGGAAAAACAAGACUAGUAAAAAACAGACUAGUAAAGAGUUAACGGAAUUCCUUACACUCCGAAAAUGAAAAAUGGACCCAGGUGAGAUCCAAAGACCCCCGCUACAGUAAAAGUCCUAGACAAAAUUUGGUUCUCUGAAGGCAUAGAAAUACCACACCCAGUCAGAAACAAUAUAGAUUGCAUAUCAACUCCUACCACAAAAGCAGCAGCUCAAACUGAUAGGACUGUUUGAAUAUUGGCCACAGCACAUACCAUCUAUGGGGAUAAUAUUAAGACACAUUUAUGAAAUAAAGAGGAAGAGCAGGGAAUUUAGAUAGAGACUCAAGACGCAGCCUUUAUUUGAAAAAUGCUGUCAGAAUGUUUAAACAUGGGCACCAGCUAACGAGGACUCUAAACUAGAGUGCCUAUACUCACGAGUCUGCAGCAGCAUCACUGUGGCCUGAAACACCACAGAACCCCAAGUUUUACCUGACUGGGCUUUACACUAUGGAGUUCCUAUUGUCUGAGAACAUACACCAACCAAUUGAAAGGCUCACCCAGGCAUUCUAUGAGGCCUUAUGAAACACAGAACCACUGAUAGAAAAUAAACCAAUUAUACUUUAACAACCCCUUCUGGAGUAGGUAAAGCAGACCCCUGACAAAUAAAUGAGAACUACUCAUGAGCAUAAGGUCCUAAGACAAAAAUAGUACAUAUCUGAGUGGGGCAUCCAGAUGAAAGGUUGACCUCUGUAUUAACUGAAAAAUGUCUCCCCAAUGCCAGUAGUGGGCUUGCUGGAUUUCAAGGCAUAAGGUUGAACAGUUGGGCAAGAGGGACCACCCUGAUCCACAUCAGUCAACGGAUGUAUGGUUUUAGAUGGAUCAGGCUCCCUGCUGUUAUCCAGAGUAUGCUGGCAGUCUGUGGCCUUGAGAACUAAGAAUGGUCUAUCAGAAUCAGGCUGAAGGUAAUCAGUACAAUAGACUAAAUUAGCAGCCAUAAAACUGGUAACUGAACAUUCUGUUAAGGAAAAUCAGAAUGAGGUAUAUAAAUAUUUUUGGACCCAGGGCCAGUAGGUAAAUGAAUAGCUCUUUGUUCAGGUCAUGCCAGGAAAAUGGGAAAUAGGAUAUAAGAAGAUAUGGGGUAAGGACAUAUGGCAGGAAAUAGCACUGGAUGACAUCUCUAUAGUGAUUAUAUAGGUCUCUGCACAUCAGAAGGCCAACUUGGAAGCAAUUUUAAUAACCAGGUAGCCUAUCUAAGCAAGAAGGACAACAAAACAUAAAACAUGGACUCCCAGAUACACCCACGGAGAGGACCACUGCUUGGGCACGUGACCAAACAGGCCACGCAGGCAUACAUGGCACUGGAACACUGCUGGCAAAAAGACACACGAAUAGAACUCCCAGAUAGCUUCAAUUUUAAAUUAGGAAAUGUGAGGAAUAUCAACAUUUUGAAGCUUAUUCAUUCAUUCAUUCUUCAUUACAUUAAUGAGUCAUCUGGGUAAGGUCAAAGAUAACAAUCUUUCCAAAUUACACAAACUAAUUACAUGGAACCCUGGCCUAAAUCAGAGAAUAAACCAUAUGCACGCACCACUGUAGGCACAUAGGAAUAGGAUUACCCUAUCUUUGCAGGAGAAAUGAUUAAAAAAAUCCACCAUCGAAGCCUUAGGAAUCUGGAUUUUUUUGCUCUGGUUUUCCAACCAUCAUAAAAUCAGCUCAGGGCCCCCACUUCACAGGAAAGCUAAUACAAGAAUGGGCUAAGAAACAAGACAUAAUAUGGAACUUCCUCUUACCCUGUAACCCAACUGCCUCUGCAUCAGUUGAAAGGUAUCAUGGCUUGCUUAAGCAAAAGCUUAAGUUACUUACUAACAAUCUAGAAUAUGAAAGCUUAGACUAAAACAAUCUGAGAGGCAGAUAUAGAAGGGGUGGAAAAACUUCCAGUGAAUUAAUAUUGCAGGCACCGACAGAGAUGGGAAUUAGUAUUAACAGCACUCCAGAAUCUCAGUUGAAAGUAUUAACUGAAAAACAUAAAAACAUAUAUGGUACUGGGGACAUACCACCUGCCAUAAUAACACCUACUGGGUGACCAAAAGAAAAGGCAUACUACAGCAAAAUAAAGACCACAAUAUGCCUCUAUAAAAGUCUUAGCCAUGUAGAACACCCUUCUAUAUUUUGUCAAAACUAGACUAAUAUUUAGCAUAGUAUAAUGCAGAGCGAUUAUGCUUGCACCAAGAUGGUCAAUAAUGACCAUGACAACAAUAGAAUUCCUUAGAUGGCAAGAACAACAAGGAAGAAUUACAAAUUUGUAGGACAUUACGUUUUGCAGUCCUGACUCCACUAUGCAUCUUUAACCCUAUAACUACUAAACAGGUCAGCGUACCAUGCUGCCUGCAGGCCAUCCUUUUUUGCCUAUUGUUCAUGAAGGGGUUCAGGACAGUCACCCCAGAAUGUACCACUUUGGCAUACAUACUAUUUUGUUCUGAAGGCACUUGAAAUCAUGUGGGCUCAAGAGAAACUUUUGUCCUUAACCACCCAGAAGAAUCUAAAUUGGUGGUCUUUGCUAGAAUAAGGGUUAACAGAAGUAAAUUUUAUCUGAGCGCCCAUCUGCAUGGAAAGGCAAACAUCUAAUUACCAAACACCUGCUCUUCAUAUUGCCCUGUGAAGUGCAUUCUUUUCCUCUGAAACCCCACACACCUGCCCCCUUCUCCUAAGUUCUGAAUGACAUAUAUACUUCAUUUUGCCUAACUUUGGAAUUUCCAUGUCUAUGUGGAUUCCCAUACAUACGCAAUUAGAUUCUGUUUUCUCCUGUUAAUCUCUCUCAUGUCAAUUUGAUUCUUAGUCCAGCUAGAAGGACCUUUGAGGGGCCAGGAAUUCUUGCUCCCUGACAGUCACUUUGUAUAUCAUACUCAGUAAAGCUAUGGAUACUUCUCUGAUAUCUCCCAGCAAUAGCAGUCAUGCCACUGUUCCAAACUGGAACAUUCUGCUCCAGAUACACCUCAAGUCUGUGACAUCCUCUUAUUCCUCCAUGGAUCGCCAUUUUGGUCACCUUAUUGUGACUGAAGACUUAACUGCAUUACCAGCAUCACCAAGCUCAGCCUUUUCACCCCUCCCUUCACUAUCAGCACCAUCUACUUCCUGGGAAAACUUCAAUCAAUGGAGAAACCAAAUACUAAGAAAAGCUGAUGAGGCAGUGGUAACCUCCAUUUCAAUCUUCACAAGAAUCAAUGAGGAUCCUGAUCAACACUUCCUAUUUGACGCUGACUUGGAUCAUAAAGAUUGACAUGAAAUACUAAUUGUCUCUUGGUAAUACAACCCAGCAUACAGGCCAAGUCUGGUUAGUACAGACUUACACUUUUCCCUUAUCUUACUGAGUUGAGUGCAAUAUUGGAUACAUGGCAGAGACUGUGGAAAUGACCCCAAUUUAAUUCCUGAUUUCUUUGUGUGGCAGCAGUUUAUUCUAAAAGAGUAGCAGCUGAAUAUCCCGAAUGGGUUAUUAUAUAUUUAAAUAUGAAUAGGCCAAAAAAUGAUCAUUUACAACACUCUCAACUUACACUGUAUAAUCCAUUGUCACGUAUUAGAAAAUUAACAAUAGGUCCAAGGUCACCGUCUCCAGACUUUGAAAAAAGAGACAACUUGUAAGGUGUAUAGAGGACACACAGGAAACUUAGCAUAUAACAUAUCAUUAUCCUUGGUGGUACACAUUAGGCUUCUAUCUCACACCGAAGAUUUCUACUCCAAGAAUAUGGGAACCCACGUUAAUAAGACCUCUCAUGGUCAUACUGGAACUGAUAUAAUUGCCUACACCCUGAAAUUUUAUAUUCAGGACUUUCAACCAGAUACAGAGCCCCAAACUGUCCUCAGUUGUGUGCAUCUUUGCUACUGUGCAGUUUACCACUAUGCCAAUAACAGCUUCACUAAAAAGAAAGAAACCCUUAUAAUUCCUUAUCAGACUGGCAAGAAGUUUACCUGAGGAAAAACAGUAGCUGCUUUUUCUCACUUCCAAAUUGAUUAAAUCACAUUGUUUCAAAAAUUUUGAAACCAGGGGCGCCUGGGUGGCUCAGUAGGUUAAGCGUCUGCCUUCGGCUCAGGUCAUGAUCCCAGGGUCCUGGGACCGAGCCCCACAUCGGGCUCCGCAUUAGGCUCCCUGCUCAGCAGGAAGCCUGCUUCUCCCUCUGCCUCUGCCUCUUCCCCCGCUCAUGCUCUAUAUCUGUGUCUCAAAUGAAUAAAUUAAAAAUCUUUAAAUAAAAAAUUUUGAAGCCAAUCUGAAUUUAACACACUGGCAAUGGCAGCUUUGUCACUGUUGGACACAUAAGUGGAUCAAAUUAGCAAUAUAUUAAAAAACAGAAUUUCACACGGAAAUACAGCAAAGGAAAUUUGACAUAAAGCAGAAAAUGCUAAAACUAACAUAAUACUAAAAAAGACAUAAAAGAUAUAUAUAUAUAUGUUUAAAGAUGAUUUAUUUGAGAGAAAGUAAGAGAGAGAGAGAACAUGAGCCGGGGGAGGGAGAGAGGAAGAAGCAGGCUCUUCCUUUUCCUGGCCUGAGCCGCCCAGGCGCCCCAGAAGAUGUUUCUCUGAAUGUAGAUUGUGAAUUGUUGCCAUUGAGGUUGGCUGAUAUGUGGAAUAUUCUUAGAACAGCUAUAAUCUUGGGGUAAUAGUGGUCACCUGAGAUAAGAGACAACCAGGCAGAAGUAAAGUAGAUAUCAUACAUUCUAGGGGCUGUGAUUCAAUGGGUGACUGUGAAAAUAACAAUAUUGGCUCUUAGAGGCAGGUGACAUAGGGGUACCACACUUUUGUGUCUUCUCAAUAUCAGAAUGCCACAGAAACCCACCUUAUGUUAGAAGGAAAAAAUGUACUUAAGGAUAUGCUGGUGGAAUGGAUCCAAAAUAACUUUAUUAGUACAAGACCUCUGGACAUACGUGUAGUACAAGUCCUGAGGACUACGGCCUUGACGCCUCCUCAACUAGUUACAUGUAAUAUGGGAAAGUGGACCAGGAUAGUAUACUCUAAGCCCAAACUCACCCUAACCUAUUGGGAGUCAAGGGAAAAAUAUGAACCCAACACAAUGGGAUGCGUAAAAACAGAACAGGUAAUGAAUGUGACAACAGAAGGAAAAAAUAUUAUUUGAGGCCAAGAUAAAGGGCCUAUUAAAAUAACUGGAGAAAUACUUCACAUUGAACCUCUUAAAAUUAAUAAAUGUAAAUCAUGCUUUAGAAAACUUAAGUAAAGGAACAUUGGGAAGAUGGGACUAAUAAAGUAAAAAUAACUUCGCAAAAUUGGAAAGAGAACAAAAGCAUGCCUUCCCUAGAUAAUGACCGCCUUGAAUUCUGAUGUUACGCAGUCGGGCAUGUGCCUGACGGGGCCAUGCAAGUGCGUACUCCCUGGAGCUCGGUAAAAAUGAUCUUUCCUUGGAAAUGUCAUUGUUAAACUGCCUGGUUUAAGAAACUUAUCUUUUGGUUGCUUGAAGAUUGGAUAUGCUAUCGUGGUAAAGAGUUCCUUGUUAGGCUUAGAUUGGUCAUAAUUAGGAAUAUGGUUGCUUAAACUGUUCAUUCAACUAUGGUGUAAAUGUGUCUGUGUCAAGGGAAAAAUACUCCCCAAAUAUGUUUUUUUGUGAUUAAGAAUGUGACGUAGAGUCCCAGGGUGGGUGGAUAUUUUUGUGAACUUAGGUUUUUACAGGACAUUAGGCCCUGAAUAUAAAUAAGCAUGUGAGUGAUUUGAAAUCACUGGAUGGAUUAUUGUAUAUUGGCUUGAUUUGAUUUCAAAUCCACUAGUUUAUGACAAGAACUGAAAACAGUUGUUUUUAGAACAAAAGCGGUUUUGAUAGAACAAUGAAGAAAAUUGUGUCAGGAUGUCAUCAUCUCAUCUGUUCCUACCCAUAGGAACUUGGUACAUCAGCUGAGGGACCCCAUGGGGGGGAGGGCUUAACAAUAAAAACAUAGGAAGCAGCAACUAUGGCAAGGGGACAGAAGACUGUAACUACUGAGUGUGAGGACUAUCCAGAGCGUUCAGUCUGGGCAAGGCUACGCUUUGCUGAUCUAAACAGGUCUCUGAAGACCUUGGGGCAAUUAGGUCCUUUUGAGAUAAGGGGACUCUUACUGACAGGAACAAAAGCCAUGCGGAGGCGAGAAGAUCAUCUUGCUGGUCAUCACCAGCGCCCUUGUUCUCUAGCAAUGUGCUUUAUCAACAGAGGCUCUUACCUUUGUACUGGUCGCUGGCAUGUCCACUCUUGGCUGGUUAAGCUUUCUCUUCCAAGUGCCAGUGCCUCUAAAGGCACACCUCAGUUUAUGUAUUUAUUUAAAAGAUUUUGUUUAUUAAUGAGAGAGAGGCUGCAGAACACAGAGGGAGAAGCAAGCUCCCUGAGGAGCAGGGAGACCGAUGGGGGACUCGAUCCCAGGACCCCGAGAUCAUGACCUGAGCCGAAGGCAGAUGCUUAACCGACUGAGCUACCCAGGCGCCCUACACCUCAAUUUAAAUUGGACUUUGCUCCUUUCAUCUCACCUUGCCUGGAACAACAGUGUCAUUAAUCUAACACUGGGUUGGAGUAGGUUAUGAAUUUAUCGGCUAACAGAAGACAUUAUACUGUGUGCUAUUGGCUCGUGAAAUUUACAGUGGACCUGUGUUAAAUACACUGCGCAAAGACAA